rnacentral:lncRNA from 1 species
CUUGAAGUUAAGUUGAUUAAUGACCUAUCCUGACCCAUAAGAAAAUCUUGGGAAGAACAGAUUAACUGUGCAUCUCAUUGGUCUCAGGAAGUUACAGUGGUGCAAUGGCAAUAACUGAGGGAACUGCUAAUCUCUCUUAGUUGGACAGUCUUAGUGGAACAAAGGUUUGAUUAUUUAGCCCAUUUGUUAAAGAGAGAAUAAGAGGGUCUGGAGAGUGGGGGGCUGGUGGGUAUUCAGCUUUUCUCCCUGCAUUUCUGCCAGAGCUCAUAAAGAAGGGAACCCCCACCUAACCUUCUGCCCCUCUAUCUACCCUCUUAUUAAAUCCUCCACAUGGAAGAAGUGACUAGUCUGGUCAGAGACACUGGGGACAGUUCACUAGAGAAAGGGAUAGUGACAUUGAAAGGCACUCACUUUCAUCUCGGACAGGAUCUAAUGCCUGCUUUUUCAUCUCAUACUCCUAGGAGCAACAGGCUGUUUUGCACAUUUCCCCCCUUGUACUAGGUAAAUAAAGAGGCAGUGGGGGUCACAGGGGAAGAGGCAGAUGGGCACCUCUGGUGAGAAGCUCCAAUCUUCCUCCUCUCCCCUUUCUGUUCCCAACUCCAGGGGUCUGGCAGGCCAACCUCAUCCUGAUACCUGGAAAGGUAGGUGGACUUGUGCUCUUGAUACCUCUCCACUUGAAUCUUGUUCUUAUCUUAUCCUCACUCUCACUCUGAGUUCUGGCACGCUUGGAGGGGUCCUAAGAUUUUGUUUUGGAGUUGGAAAAGUAAGAGGCCUCACAUAGGCUUUCUAGCCUCUACCCAGCCAUGACCCAAGCUUCACUUUAAGUUUGGUUGUUUGCUUACUAAUAAAAUGGUACUGGAGUUCUCUUAUUGGGGUAUAGAUACAGGUGUGCAUGCUCCCUCAGGAAAACUGGUUAGAAAAAGAGGUGGUGGUAGGAUUUGUGUUUGGAAUUCUACCCCAAAGUUGUAACACUAUUUUGGGGGACAGUUGGUUAUUUUCUACAUUUUAAAGCCAGAACAUGUCUACAUGAGAUUGUCUGGCUCAGAAAUUCCCAAAAGAAAAAUUAAGAAAGAAUAAGUACUUUGGAAAAGUUAGAACUGUUUUUAGGGCAUAAAAACUAGGGGAAAAAAAGAACUCGUAAGUAGAUUUUUGAGCAAGAUUUUGAAAGUAUAAUUUACCUCUCUGCUUGGUAAGUGAGUAACUAUUGCUAUUCGAGUGAUCAGUAAUGGGACAAAUGUUAAAUGAAAGAUAAUUCCAAAUAAGUGGAAAUACUGUGAUA